CCUAUUUCUUAGAAAAUUUCUCAUUUAUUUUUUUUCAAGCAAUUCCUUGCUUGUAUUGGUGUGCCAUAUUGCGAACUAUGGCUCAUUUAAGAUGAAAAUGGGCUCUGCUCUCAUUAUAUUAGCUUUUUGAACAGCACCUUGAAUAAACGCCGAAAUUGUAGAUAACGGAGUGCGGCGCUCAUUCGAAGGUGCUCAAUCGAGAAAAAUAUACUGUGAAUUAGGUGUUUCAUCGCUGUGCUUUGCAAUGCAACACAUGAAAAGUAGCCUUGUGUGUUAGUAUAUUUUAUUGCAGGUAGCCUUUCCGCUACUAGUUUGUCAUCUUUUCACACCUGGCUUCAAUCGCUGGGAGUGGAUGAAUAUUUUGCUGCACUGAUUAUAAACUAACAAUAUUACUGCGUGGUUAGCCUGAACGUUUUGACACAAGGGGUCGGUUGUUCGAAAGUUGGAUAGCGCUAUCCGGUAUUUUUCUUUCAGGCUUCCUAAAACAACCUGUUGACUGGUCUGAUUCAGAUUAAACUUCGAUAUUUUUAAGUUGAACUUUCUUUUUAUCAAUUGACAGGCCCAUAUGGCCUAUAUAUU